GAACAGUCAACAGAACUGCGUUGCUUUCGUCUCUCAACGGAAGGUCUCUCUUUGAAGCUUUUGCAACUUCAAGGUCUGCUUUCUUUUUUUAUAUAUAUUCUGCUUUAUACUAAUUUUAUGAUUAGAAUAGUGAAAAUUGACUACUCUGGUUAGUUUGUGGGAUGCAGAGGAAGUACAAAAUGAAAAAAGGCAAAGUUCUUUAUUGGCAGUUUCUGAACUUCAAGGUUUUCCUACUUUCUUUCUUUUCCAUAUGUUCUGCUUAUUAGAAGUUUAUAAUUUAAAAAUAGUAAAUGUUGACUAUUUUAUUUGGAUUAUUUAGAUGCAGAUGAAGCGUAAAAUAAAAAGACGCAUCGCAAUGAGAAUGAUUGACAGUAAUGAGGCAAGUCAUGAAGUGAUAAGCUUGACACAAGACUUCGCUGUAUUUUCUUUCCCUUUUUCGUUUUGUGGGGUUGGCUCAUUUCGUAUUGGUUUAAAUUGGCUAUUUCUUUUCGAUAUAAUAAAAAAGAAGAAACUUUAUUUCUGCAUUUGACAUUUAGUGCGAAGAUCGGUACUAUAAUAAACUCAUUUUGUAAUGUUUCUUGGAUUUUAACAAAUUAAACUCUAUGAAGCGGUUAUUUUUCCUCUACUGAUAAGUAAAUAAAGAAGCUAUUCAGAAUCGG
rnacentral:lncRNA from 1 species